AUUCAAAAGUAGUUUUAGUCGUACAACAGAAAAAUCUGAUUGGACAGAUAUUCUAGAUAGCUGUCAGGAUUUACCCUACAGAGUUCUGAGGACCAUGUAAUCAUUGUCUUUAGAAA